GUGAUGCGUCAGGUAUGCAAGAACCUUUUGCUGACUACGAUGCUUCUGUGGGCAUUAAUUGCUCCCGGAGUUGGAUAAGUUGAUCAGCAUUAUUUUUUGCAAGCCAGCCAGACUUGGGAGAAUGAGCAGAGGUCGCACAGAACUGGAGAAACUAUCAAACCGAAGGAAGGAGGGAAGAAGAGAAUCGUUCCAUCUAAAUCUCUUUUUAUUUACAGCUGCACGGACCAAUCAUUGCUCUCAGCAGGAUUUUUUUUUUAAAAACACGGCUUGAAACCCACAAGGCCUGCUCACAUGUAUGCUCCUACUUGAUCCACACGAGCUGACCACAAUCAAUGUUAAUACAUACAAGAAUCAUGGAUACAGAGAACAAAGGUUCUUCCAUUCAAGGGCAUUGGUGUUUCCAUACCAGGCUGUGAAGCAACCAGUCAGUAUAUUUGCCAUCAUGGAUCUACAGAAACUGGCAAAAUGUGGGAUGACAUGUCAAAUCUUUGCAAACUGCUAAAGAAAAGAUGGCACUUACAUACUGGACCCAGAUGAUUUUCCAGACGGAAACUCCAGCUAACUUCAACGCAAAGGAGAGAAGAAUGAGUCAAGGUCUGACCAUGUUACAUGACUCACUACUACUGAAUCUCACAAUUGGCCAGUAUUUCUCAUGUUAUUGCCAGAAACACUGCAUUCUUCAUUAUUCAGUGCAGUCGUACUCAACGUCUGUGUUUCUGCAUACACCACCAAAUAAAUGAAAGUAUA